GGGCCCGCACAAGCAGUGGAGCAUGUGGUUUAAUUCGAUGCAACGCGAAGAACCUUACCAGGCCUUGACAUCCUCGGAACUUUCUAGAGAUAGAUUGGUGCCUUCGGGAACCGAGUGACAGGUGCUGCAUGGCUGUCGUCAGCUCGUGUCGUGAGAUGUUGGGUUAAGUCCCGUAACGAGCGCAACCCUCGUCCUAUGUUGCCAGCACGUAAUGGUGGGGACUCGUAGGAGACUGCCGGGGUCAACUCGGAGGAAGGUGGGGACGACGUCAAGUCAUCAUGCCCCUUACAUCCUGGGCUACACACGUACUACAAUGCUACGGACAAAGGGGCAGCAAGUUCGCGAGGACAAG
rnacentral:rRNA from 1 species